rnacentral:rRNA from 1 species
UUCUCGAUCGCCGUAGAGAUACGGUUUCCCCUUUGGGGCGGGUUCACAGGUGGUGCAUGGUUGUCGUCAGCUCGUGUCGUGAGAUGUUGGGUUAAGUCCCGCAACGAGCGCAACCCUCGUUCCAUGUUGCCAGCACGUAAUGGUGGGGACUCAUGGGAGACUGCCGGGGUCAACUCGGAGGAAGGUGAGGACGACGUCAAAUCAUCAUGCCCCUUAUGUCUUGGGCUUCACGCAUGCUACAAUGGCCGGUACAAUGGGUUGCGAUACUGUGAGGUGGAGCUAAUCCCAAAAAGCCGGUCUCAGUUCGGAUUGGGGUCUGCAACUCGACCCCAUGAAGUCGGAGUCGCUAGUAAUCGCAGAUCAGCAACGCUGCGGUGAAUACGUUCCCGGGCCUUGUACACACCGCCCGUCAAGUCACGAAAGUUGGUAACACCCGAAGCCGGUGGCCUAACCCUUGUGGGGGGAGCCGUCGAAGGUGGGACCAGCGAUUGGGACUCU